rnacentral:rRNA from 1 species
GACGAACGCUGGCGGCGUGCCUAACACAUGCAAGUCGAACGGACAGGCCCUGCUUUUGUUUCUUGCUCGAGUGGCGAACGGGUGAGUAACACGUGAGUAACCUGCCCUUAACUUUGUGAUAACAUCUGGAAACUCCGGCUCAUACCGCAUAGGAUCUCCUGCUGCCUGUUGGUGGUUGGAAAAUUUCGGCUGUUCUGUAUGUUCUCGCGGCUUAUCAGCUUCUUGGUGUGGUAGUUGCGUACCAAGGCUUCGACGGGUAGGCGGCCUGCGAGGGGAGACGGGGACAUGAGGACUGAGGUACGGACCAGACGCGAAUCGUACGCAGCGGGGGAGAGUAUGACAGAGUAGGGGGGAGCGUGAGGUGAAAAUGCCGCGUGCGGGAUAACGGGUUUGGGGUUGUAAACAGAUUUCGCAUUUGACAAAGAGUGAGUGACGGUAAUGAAUAAAGAAGCAACGGCUAACUACGUG